rnacentral:lncRNA from 1 species
UGGGCACGGUUCCUUUAAAUAAGAAACAUUUUUCUGUUCAAGUGAGUCACCUCGGUUUUCCAGCUUUCAAAAUCAAGUUUAUUUUCUAGUUCUUUCUGUUCAGGAAUUUUCUUUCUCUCUUCCUGAAGACCAGAGUUUGCCCUUCUACUGGAAGGCAAUGGUUUCACAGGUUCUCUUUCUUUUAUCUCAAGAUUUUUUUAAGCCCUGCUGAAUUUGGUAGCAAAUUCUGAACAUAGAGAGGAGAGAACCAGGAAGUGAGUCUUCCAGGGGCAGGCAUAAAAGCCUGGUGGAGGCAUCGAAAGUAAAAGUAAACUUCUUCCUGGAGGCGUUUCCAACCCCACUUCUUGUCUCCCCCUCCCGCUUGUCUCAUUUCCAGGGAUUUUUCUCCAGCUUGGUUGUAAGAACCAGCCUCAGCAAUCCGACGUGUGAAGUUAGGCAGUGUGGGGUCUUGUCGUUGGGAGUUUGGUGGCUGGGAUGUUGCCAGGACUGUGUGGAGCAGGUUCCAGUCCAUGGUGAGGGCCCUGGGAUUUUAUUUUUCCUUUGA